rnacentral:rRNA from 1 species
UAGGGAAUCUUCCACAAUGGACGCAAGUCUGAUGGAGCAACGCCGCGUGAGUGAAGAAGGUUUUCGGACCGUAAAGCUCUGUUGUUGGUGAAGAAGGAUAGAGGUAGUAACUGGCCUUUAUUUGACGGUAAUCAACCAGAAAGUCACGGCUAACUACGUGCCAGCAGCCGCGGUAAUACGUAGGUGGCAAGCGUUGUCCGGAUUUAUUGGGCGUAAAGCGAGCGCAGGCGGAAGAAUAAGUCUGAUGUGAAAGCCCUCGGCUUAACCGAGGAAUUGCAUCGGAAACUGUUUUCUUGAGUGCAGAAGAGGAGAGUAGAACUCCAUGUGUAGCGGUGGAAUGCGUAGAUAUAUGGAAGAAUACCAGUGGCGAAGGCGGCUCUCUGGUCUGCAACUGACGCUGAGGCUCGAAAGCAUGGGUAGCGAACAGGAUUAGAUACCCUGGUAGUCCAUGCCGUAAACGAUGAGUGCUAAGUGUUGGGAGGCUUCCGCCUCUCAGUGCUGCAGCUAACGCAUUAAGCACCCCGCCUGGGGGAGUACGACCGCAAGGUUGAAAC